rnacentral:rRNA from 1 species
GCCGAGGACAAGUUUCUUUGCGAGUGUUGGAGGGACAUUGGACAAGACCCAACCGGCGCCGAACAAAAGCAUUCAACUUUUUGGAUUCGUGUCCACCGGGAGUUUCAUGAGCGCAAGAAGUUUCCUCCUUACCAAAUUGUGAGCACGCGUGGGUGGGUGUCCAUUUCAAAGCGAUGGAGAGUGAUCCAACAAGAGUGCAACAAGUUUUGUGCCACUCUUGAGAGCGUCAAGACCCGCCCUGUGGGCAGCAUCGGCAUGCAAGACAUGGUAUGGUAUCAAGCCGCCCUCUUUUGUGUCAUCAAGUUCAUGCUUGCGUGUUCAUUUGCAUAG